UCUCCAUGAGGAGUAACAUGAUAAAAUUCCUGUAUAUCCUCAUGUUUUCCCUCCUAAAUCCGUGUGUUUUCAGGGAAAAUCACAUCCAUGAGCACGUUUGGGAAGUGGAGCCAUUAAAAAAAAAUUAAGGAAAAAAAGCCCCAGAUGGAGAUUUUGGCCUGGCAUCAAAUCCCAUUAAAAAGAGGGCAAACCCUCCCUAAAAAUCUUUUUUUUCCUAAUCCCGGAUAUUUUAGUCAUUCCUGGUUUCUGGGCUCCCACAACUACUUCGAAUUCCAAAGAGAUUUUGGCCCCUUUUUUCCAGAUUUCCUCCUGUUCCCAAUGUUUUGUUUCAUCUCCCUUCCCUCUUUUUUUUCGAUGGGGUAACACAAGGAUUUGGGGGCAGAUUGAAUCCAUUGGCAGCAUUCUCAGUUUUCCCGCUUUCCCUAUUUCUGAUGCAGCUGAUAGUGAGGAGACACCUAAGGAAAAAAUUCCUUUUGUUUUCCAUGUGCUCCGAGUGAGAACAAGAAACAUCCUGGAUAUGGGAUCUUCCAUGCAAAAAAUUCCAAGCUUGACCACUCCGAUUUUUAAUCCUCCUGGGCCAUCCCGAUCCAUAAAGGAAUGUGGGGAUUUCUCCAUGCUGUUGGAACGUUAUGGAUAAGCCCCCAAAAUUCCGGGAUUUUCAUCCUGCCUGGACCAAAUCUGUAAAAAUAGAAAUAUGGCAGGAGAUUGGAGGGAAAAUCCAGCUUUUAUCCCAUUCCCAGGUUUGGGUGGAUGCUUCGCAUGACAUCAGGACACAACAAGGAAACGUGGAAUUUCCUUGGAGUCCCUUCUCCAGGCUUCCAGCUGUUGUUACAUCCAGAACUUCUUCAGCUUCUCCAUGGAUCAGCUCCUGGAUGUCCAUAGGAAUUCUGCUCCCGAUUUCUCCAUCUGGUUCUGCAAAAACAGAAGAACAAAAUUUACUGGGAGAUGUUUUCCAGGUGGGAUUGGUGGGAUUUAGACUUUUAUGGAAGCGAAGAUCCUCAAGGCGCGUGGCAACAUGGAAGGGAUGUAGCCAUAAAAAAUUUCCAUGCAAUGAAAGGAAAGGAGCUGAAUUCCCCCAAAUCAGGAGAAAAGGUUGGGUUUGGGAAGGCACAACUGGAAUUCUAAUCCAGCUGUGCCCACACUGGGAUGGGAUGUGGGAAGUAUCCCUGCUGGAAUACAACACAACAAUCUCCUGUUUCUGGGAAAAAGACAGGAAUGAACAGCUGGGAUGAACGGAAGCUUUUCCUUUUUGGGAGAUUUUGGGACUGGAAACGGAGAAGUUCCACUCAAGUCUUGCUUAGCUAAAACCAGAAUCCUUCUGGAAUCUUCAGCCAAAUCCGGUCUCUUUUCACCCUGGAAGUUGCUCCCGCCGCUGCCUGGAUCCCAGAUUUCCUCAUGGAGUCAGACUUGGAGCAAAGUCUCCGACGGGGGGUUUUCCUGGGUCAUUCCAAAGGAGAACCCUGGGUUGACUCCAGAAAAUCGGGAUGAAGGUGUAGGCCCACGAUCCCAAUUCCCUGGAAAAGCUGAGACCAGAAUUCCUUCUCCAGACGUUUUCUUCUCGGAGUCCUUCCCCUGGCCCAAGUGUCCCACAUUCCCUGCGGGCUCCUCCGAGCCUUUCCCAGCGCUCGGGAUGCUCCCAGCUCCAGGAGCGGAUCUGGGAGUCGAACCCAGCCCCGGGUUUCUCGUCCUGUUCCGUAACAACGUCAUCCAUGGUUAUCCGCGAGCAUUUCCUCGGAUACCGCCUGGGAUCGGACCAGCACCAGUUUGAGUUGUUUGCGGGGGGGAAUCGAUGGGAUCCAUCCAAUAUAAAUCGGAUUUUCCCAGCCUCCUGCAAUCUCCAAUCCAUGGGCCCUGUGGGCCAGAAUUCCUUAAUGGAGUCCAGGGAAUUUUUCCAAAGCUGCGCUUUUGGUUUUUCUGGGAUGACUUCCCUGCCUGUCCCACACAAACCUCGCUCUGAGUAAGAGCGUCCGGUCCUUGUGGUGGUUUAAUCCACCCCGAAUUCCCAGCUGGAUGAGGUCACUUUUUUGGGAUUGGAUUUCCAAACAUCCCUUUGUACCUGGUGACUCCAUCAGGGCGGGGAUGUCCGGCCCUGGCUCCGUUUGGAUUUGGACAAGGGACAGCCGGUGACACCCGGAUUUGAACAAUUCCAGGAAUUUCCACCAGGGUUUCUUGCCUUUGCUUUACUCCAGAAAAUCCAAGUGAUCCCAAAGCUCGUCCCAACAGCUCCCCAAUUCCAACCCCACCUUCCCAAAUUCCAUCUAUUUUACCUACCCCAUGGCUGGAUUUGUAUUCCUGCUGCUCUUUUCCUGGGAAAAGAGAAGCACACACAACCUUUGGACUGUUUGGGAGUGCCCCCCAUUCCCAGACUUUCUUUGACGAGUGAUUGAUGUUCAUGGAAGAGAUUCCCACAUCCAAAUGGGAGCUCGACUCAAAUCCAGGGAAGAAGGAAUUAAAGCGCUCUGGCCAGGGAGUGUUUCCUAAGGAAAAUAAUUCCAACCAUGCCCAGAGCUGUUUUCCAGGAGCCAGCUCUCCAUCCUGGAUGCAGUCGGAAUAACAGAUGUGCUCACCUCCCCUCAGCCCUUGGAACAACAGCCCCAGCCCAGUCACACUGACAGGACAUUCCCAGAAAACCUCGGGAUCCGAGGGUGUUGCAUCCCGUGCCAGCGAGGGCGGGGAAUGUUUUCCCAUCACCUCCAAUCUGGGCGAUGAUUCCCAGGGGAUGGUGGGAAGUGACACGGAGAUGACUUCAUUUGGAGCGCAUUUCCCACAUUAUCCAUGCCCAGGGCCGGGAUGUUGGCGCUGAUUAUUCCAGGCUGGAAUUCCUGCUCUCUGCUCGUUCUCACAGGCCUUGAUAAGGAACCCAAAUCUUAGCACUCCAAACCCCUUGGAAAAGACAUUUCAUGGAUUUACUCCCAUUUUUCAGGUGACGGAGGUGAAAACAGAGAGGGAAAGCAAUUCCCACAGGGAUUUCUUCCCACCUCGCCCUCAGGAAUUAUCCCCAGGGUGGAUUUUGGGGAAGGAAAAGGAAUUUCCUUACAAUGGAACGCAGCUGCCAAGGGGGUGGAUUUCUCCGUAAUCAAUACACGGAUAUCGCAAACAGCUGGAAUUUGGAGACCUUUCCCACAAAAUUCAGCACUUCCAGCAAGUUAUCGAAAUCCACAACUCAUCCAGGACUUUUCCAGCUCUUUUCCAGCUCCUUGUGGCAAAGGAUCCGGCAAACAGGGAUGGAGGAGAUGGAGCUGUGGGCAUGAAACCGGGAUUUUUUUUCUCGGGAAUUUUCGGAUAACUCAUUUUUUCUUGCCGCAUCUCCGUACCUUGGGAAAAGGGGCAGUGGAAGAGGCAACUUUCCCAGUUCCUGAAAACUAUUGGGAUAUGGAAACAUUUCUCCCACUUGAAAUGAAGGGAAAGAAAAGAAAGGUCUCCAAAACAAUUUGGAAUCGCCAACUUGGUAGGGAAAACAAAUUGGAUUCUAUGGAAUUUCAUUUCAUAAUUAAAGAUUAUUUUAAAAUUCC